UACGAAGGGGGCUAGCGUUGCUCGGAAUCACUGGGCGUAAAGGGCGCGUAGGCGGCCAUUCAAGUCAGAGGUGAAAGCCCAAGGCUCAACCUUGGAACUGCCUUUGAUACUGUUUGGCUUGAGACCGGUAGAGGUAAGUGGAACUGCGAGUGUAGAGGUGAAAUUCGUAGAUAUUCGCAAGAACACCAGUGGCGAAGGCGGCUUACUGGACCGGUUCUGACGCUGAGGCGCGAAAGCGUGGGAGCAAACAGG
rnacentral:rRNA from 1 species